rnacentral:lncRNA from 1 species
UGCCUCACCGUUCACUAGUAUUUCUUUGUGUUUCCCUGUGGAUUUGAACCGGAGCUCUAGAUACCAACUAUUUGUGCGCAAUAUGAAAUGGAUGAAGAUGGAAGAAUAGAGAGAAAAGAGAAUAACAAACCUCCACUAUUAUGCUAAAACGGUUACAGUAAGUGGUUGCACACACUACUACAUAAACUGCUCUUACGACUAUUACAUACUUAAUGGCUAAGCACACUAAUAUUUAUAUACACAAACAAUAAUACCACGUAGAUGAAGUACUAAAAUACUGGAUUAUCCUUAAAAAAACAAAACAAAAAAAACUUCAAAAGUUUCACAACAAUAGUGGAUUUUGAUUUGGAUUCAUCAACAUAACAAAACUCUCCUAACUUAUGGAAAAAACCAAGUCUCAU